UCUCAUACAUUGGCGAGCCACCCAAACCACUGCUCGGCCAAAUAUAGUAAAAUCUAACAGAUGUAUCCCGAUAUACUGCGAAGAGAGCGGGAUCCAUCUUUUUUUACAGUAUAUGGUCGCGUUGGUUUCAUUGGCGGUCUGAAGGAAAUGAUGCCAGUCUGGCGCUGAUAGUUAUUCAACUUGCGAAUAAGAACCAUCUUUACAGAAGACAUCUCAGAGAUGCCAUACACUUUCAGAAAACAACCAAGAAAAAUGUGUGGUGGCCUGUUUGUGCAAGGACAGGAAACAAACUUCCAGAAGCCAUUAUUGCCUACUUUGUAAACUUUUGCACGGUCAACCAACUUCAUAAAACAUUUGUGGUAUAGGUAACAAAAGUGGACUUAUUACUCUUUGUUGAACGAAUCUUGAACGAAAACGAACGAAUCUUUUCCCGAGUCAAUUAGUUCAUUUCGUUCGUUGACUGAAACAAAUGACACGAAAA